UGUAUGUUCGAUUGUAUGCGCAACUAUUCCCACCACAGAGAGGCACGAAGUCGCCCAGCAAGAAGUUCUUCUUAAAUGCUUCAUGGCCUUGAAU
rnacentral:lncRNA from 1 species